rnacentral:rRNA from 1 species
GGAGGCAGCAGUGGGGAAUUUUGGACAAUGGGGGCAACCCUGAUCCAGCAAUGCCGCGUGUGUGAAGAAGGCCUUCGGGUUGUAAAGCACUUUUGUCCGGAAAGAAAUCCCUUGCCCUAAUACGGCGGGGGGAUGACGGUACCGGAAGAAUAAGCACCGGCUAACUACGUGCCAGCAGCCGCGGUAAUACGUAGGGUGCGAGCGUUAAUCGGAAUUACUGGGCGUAAAGCGUGCGCAGGCGGUUUUGUAAGACAGGCGUGAAAUCCCCGAGCUCAACUUGGGAAUGGCGCUUGUGACUGCAAGGCUAGAGUAUGUCAGAGGGGGGUAGAAUUCCACGUGUAGCAGUGAAAUGCGUAGAGAUGUGGAGGAAUACCGAUGGCGAAGGCAGCCCCCUGGGACGUCACUGACGCUCAUGCACGAAAGCGUGGGGAGCAAACAGGAUUAGAUACCCUGGUAGUCCACGCCC